GUUUUGUUAGGGAUCCAAAGUAAUCGGAUGUGAGGGAAAGUCUCCUGCAGGGCAGAUAAUGUUCAGUAAGGCAGUGUUUGAGCUCACUUUGUUAUUGUGAAAUUUACCUAUGUCACGCUGGAGAGACUUGGGCAACGGAGAGAUUACACGCAGUGUUUGAAGAAACGAAAAGGUUUCCUUUGCAUAUCAGAGGGAAAUGACAACACUCAGCAUAUUUUUAAAGCUCUGCUCUGCCUGAUUGUCUGUUAGUUGGUCACUGUGCUGAGCGCAGGGGCGGAGGGAAGACGGAAAGGUGGCGAGCGCCCUUGUCCCUGCGCCAGCCCUCCUCGGUGUGUGCGCCGUGUGUCGGAGCAGCUCCCGCGCCGUGGGACGCCAGGGAGACGUGGAGCACAGCAGCUGACUGGCCAUGCCUCUUCCCGCGGGUUUUCUGCCUAGCUCCUCUCCUCCACGCACACGAGCUGCUUUAUCCCUUCUGAGGGCUACCUCUUUGCAUAGGCUUUGUCUGUUCCCUGGCACUGGGCAGGCUCCGUUUCGUGCAAGCGGAUUUGUAAUUUAGACGCAGUGAGUAGCCACCAGCUAUCGUGCGCCUGGGUGCAGCGAGGACGCGCUGGAGCAGCGCUUGGUGGGACCGACCGUGCGGCUGGA
ensembl:lncRNA